AGUCGUCGCGCGUGUUGUGCGUGUUACGGGUCGCGACGGUAUCGGAACGGCCAAGACGGCAUCGGACGGGGACGACGGCGAGAGAGCGGAAACAAAAUAAGAACGUUUCACACGACGGAACGAUACGAUACUAUUACGAUACACAUUACAUAUACAUCGCGCGACGGACGGAGGAGUGAGGAGGACUACGUCGUUCGUCACGCGGCGUGUCGGCGGCGGCGGGAGGAGCACAAUGGAACAAGGUUGCCAGGCAGCCGAGAACAGCUGAGCGGUGUUGGCCGACUUGUCGUGUGCGCCGUGCGGAAAGUCGACCGAACGUACACCACGACUGUGAACUCUUUUCUAUGGGUGCACUAGUGCAUUGUUACACUGGUGCGCGCGUGGAUGUAGAUAAUAAAGAAUAUGAUAUUAAUCGAUGAGAAAACGUCUGCCUGGUUUGUUGCGAGUUUGAAACUUUUAAAAUCCUGUGCAUUAUUUUUCACUUAGUUCUUGAUGCAUUUUCUUUCACCAACUAUUCCCUACUCCCUUCAGAACUGACCCACCUCGAGGACAUCCAACAUUAGGCCAGACCGUUGAUAUUUAAGUAUUCAAAGCAUAUCCAAAGACUAAUUAAAAUUCAAUAUUAUAGUUUUAUAACAAGAUUGUUCAACUGUUCAAUAAAUACAAUUUGCAUUGUUCCUGAAAAUAAUAUUGGAUAUUUAUGUUCACAUGCUGUUCAUCUGAGUUGAAGAAUAUCAGUAACUGUUAAAAUGCAUUGCAGUUGCAAUAUAAAGCAGUAUUUUUAGAAAACUUGGAAGAAUAUUUUAACAGAAUUGAAACUAUAGAAGAUCCAAAGUUUACUUCAACAAUAAAGUUCAACAAUUAAAAGUAUAAUGAUGAUUGAUGAGUUGUUUUAAAAUUUGGCAAGACACAGUAUAUAAUAUUAUUCUAAUUUAGAUGCAUUCAAGUAUAAUCAUGGGUGAAAUUAAACAUUUUCACUAGAUUAGAACAAAAUACAGCAGAAGCACUAGAAGUUGCUUAUUAGGAACACUUUUGGAGCAAGGUGAAAUAUGUAAAUUAACUAAUUUUAUUUUGUAAUCUAUUGGUUUUAUUUAUUAAACUUUAAUAUGUACCAAUGUACCUAUAAAAGAAUAAUGGAAAAAAAUGUAUAAUUUAAAAUAAGUUUAGAGGUAUUAUUA